rnacentral:misc_RNA from 1 species
GAAAUGCGAUAAGUAGUGUGAAUUGCAGAAUUCAGUGAAUCAUCGAAUCUUUGAACGCACAUUGCGCCCCUUGGUAUUCCAUGGGGCAUGCCUGUUCGAGCGUCAUUUGUACCCUCAAGCUCUGCUUGGUGUUGGGUGUUUGUCCCGUCUCCGCGCGUGGACUCGCCCCAAAGUGAUUGGCAGCCGGCGUACUGGUCCCGGAGCGCAGCACAUGUCGCGCAAACGAGUGCCUUGGUACGGCGGCGUCCAUAAGCCCCUCUCUCACGCUCUUGAACUCGGAGCAGGUAGGGAUACCCGCUGAACUUAAGC